rnacentral:rRNA from 1 species
GUCUAGGCUCGCACAAUCGAUGAAGAACGCUGCGAACUGCGAUACGUAAUUGCGAAUUGCAGGAUUCAGUGAGUCAUCGAAAUUUUGAACGCAUAUUGCACUUUCGGGUUAUGCCUGGAAGUAUGCCUGUAUCAGUGUCC